rnacentral:rRNA from 1 species
GACGAACGCUGGCGGCGUGCUUAACACAUGCAAGUCGAACGGAAAGGCCCUGCUUUUGUGGGGUGCUCGAGUGGCGAACGGGUGAGUAACACGUGAGUAACCUGCCCUUGACUUUGGGAUAACUUCAGGAAACUGGGGCUAAUACCGGAUAGGAGCUCCUGCUGCAUGUUGGGGGUUGGAAAGUUUCGGCGGUUGGGGAUGGACUCGCGGCUUAUCAGCUUGUUGGUGGGGUAGUGGCUUACCAAGGCUUUGACGGGUAGCCGGCCUGAGAGGGUGACCGGCCACAUUGGGACUGAGAUACGGCCCAGACUCCUACGGGAGGCAGCAGGGGGGAAUAUUGCACAAUGGGGGGAAGCCUGAUGCAGCAACGCCGCGUGCGGGAUGACGGCCUUCGGGUUGUAAACCGCUUUCGCCUGUGACGAAGCGUGAGUGACGGUAAUGGGUAAAGAAGCACCGGCUAACUACGUG